rnacentral:rRNA from 1 species
AUUGCCCUAGUAACGGCGAGUGAAGCGGCAACAGCUCAAAUUUGAAAUCUGGCCCUCGGGUCCGAGUUGUAAUUUGUAGAGGAUGCUUUUGGUGCGGUGCCUUCCGAGUUCCCUGGAACGGGACGCCAUAGAGGGUGAGAGCCCCGUCUGGUUGGACACCAAGCCUCUGUAAAGCUCCUUCGACGAGUCGAGUAGUUUGGGAAUGCUGCUCUAAAUGGGAGGUAUAUGUCUUCUAAAGCUAAAUACCGGCCAGAGACCGAUAGCGCACAAGUAGAGUGAUCGAAAGAUGAAAAGCACUUUGAAAAGAGGGUUAAAUAGUACGUGAAAUUGUUGAAAGGGAAGCGCUUGUGACCAGACUUGAGCCCGGUUAAUCAUCCAGCCUUCUGGCUGGUGCACUUGGCCGGCUCAGGCCAGCAUCAGUUCGGCGUGGGGGAUAAAGACUUCGGGAAUGUGGCUCCUUCGGGAGUGUUAUAGCCCGUUGUGUAAUACCCUGUACUGGACUGAGGUUCGCGCAUCUGCAAGGAUGCUGGCGUAAUGGUCAUCAGCGACCCGUCUUGAAACACGGACCAAGGAGUCGUCCUCGUAUGCGAGUGUUCGGGUGUCAAACCCCUACGCGUAAUGAAAGUGAACGCAGGUGAGAGCUUCGGCGCAUCAUCGACCGAUCCUGAUGUUCUCGGACGGAUUUGAGUAAGAGCAUACGGGGCCGGACCCGAAAGAAGGUGAACUAUGCCUGUAUAGGGUGAAGCCAGAGGAAACUCUGGUGGAGGCUCGCAGCGGUUCUGACGUGCAAAUCGAUCGUCAAAUAUGGGCAUGGGGCGAAAGACUAAU